rnacentral:tRNA from 1 species
CGGGGCGUAGCGCAGUUUGGUAGCGCAUCGGUUUUGGGAACCGAGGGCCGCGUGUUCAAGUCACGCCGCCCCGACCA